GCCAGGGGAGCAAACGGGAUUAGAUACCCCGGUAGUCCUGGCAGUAAACGGUGCACGUUUGGUGUGGGAGGAUUCGACCCCUUCCGUGCCGGAGCUAACGCGUUAAACGUGCCGCCUGGGAAGUACGGUCGCAAGAUUAAAACUCAAAGAAAUUGACGGGGGCCCGCACAAGCGGUGGAGUAUGUGGCUUAAUUCGAUGCAACGCGAAGAACCUUACCUGGCCUUGACAUGCAUCUCUAAGUUGGUGAAAGCCAGCGAGUGUAGCAAUACACAAUUUGCACAGGUGCUGCAUGGCCGUCGUCAGCUCGUGUCGUGAGAUGUUGGGUUAAGUCCCGCAACGAGCGCAACCCCUGUGAUCUGUUGCCACCGGCGCAAGCCGAGCACUCUGAUCAGACUGCCCUGUGAAACGGGGAGGAAGGUGGGGACGACGUCAAGUCAGUAUGGCCCUUACGGCCAGGGCUGCACACGUACUACAAUGCCCAGGACAGAAAGAACCAAAACCGCGAGGUGGAGGAAAUCGUUAAACCUGGGCCCAGUUCGGAUUGAAGGCUGCAACUCGCCUUCAUGAAGUUGGAAUCGCUAGUAAUGCCGUAUCAGCUACGACGGCGUGAAUACGUUCCCGGGCCUUGUACACACCGCCCGUCACAUCAUGGAAGUCGUUUGUACCCGAAGUCGCUGCGCUAACCCUCACGGGAGGCAGGUGCCUAAGGUAUGGAUGGUAAC
rnacentral:rRNA from 1 species